rnacentral:rRNA from 1 species
GCAAGCCUGAUCCAGCAAUGCCGCGUGCAGGAAGAAGGCCUUCGGGUUGUAAACUGCUUUUGUACGGAACGAAACGGUCCUGGUUAAUACCCGGGGCUAAUGACGGUACCGUAAGAAUAAGCACCGGCUAACUACGUGCCAGCAGCCGCGGUAAUACGUAGGGUGCAAGCGUUAAUCGGAAUUACUGGGCGUAAAGCGUGCGCAGGCGGUUUUGUAAGACAGGCGUGAAAUCCCCGGGCUCAACCUGGGAAUUGCGCUUGUGACUGCAAAGCUGGAGUGCGGCAGAGGGGGAUGGAAUUCCGCGUGUAGCAGUGAAAUGCGUAGAUAUGCGGAGGAACACCGAUGGCGAAGGCAAUCCCCUGGGCCUGCACUGACGCUCAUGCACGAAAGCGUGGGGAGCAAACAGGAUUAGAUACCCUGGUAGUCCACGCCCUAAACGAUGUCAACUGGUUGUUGGGUCUUUUGACUCAGUA